ensembl:lncRNA
UGCAGUUAUAUCUGAUCAAAUGCGCAUUAUUAUUCUUUAGCUUGGGUUAAACUAAUUAAUUUUACUUGGCUGGAACAGCAGCUACGCUAAUUAUGUCUCUAUUUGUUUCUCUGUUUUGCCACAGAAUUUACAUCACGUGGUAACAAGGAUUUACACAAGCUCCAGUUUUGAUCCAGAACACCUGAGAAGAGAUGAUGCCAGCCCCUCAGAGGACCUCAGAUGAUGCUAACCCAGAGACAACAUACAGAACUACCAACUUUUGCUAUAAGUUUGAUUACAUAAUUGCUGUUAAUAGUGUUAAUCGUCUGUUUGUUUAUGUCUUUUAUUGAUUUAUCUGAACAUUUCUGCCGUAUGCACAUAAACUGACAGUCACCACUGAUAAGCUACUACUAAAUAUUGUAGAAACUUAAUUUUCUGUAAAGUUGCUUUGCAAUGAUCUGUAUCAUAAAAAGCACUAUACAAAUAAACUUGAAUUGAAUUGAAUUGAACUUUGAGAAGGUUUUAAACAACAGUGUGUCUGCCACUUGGAUGUACAGUCCAUUGUAUUACUCCAGUGAGGGUUUCGCUUUCAGGCUCUCUUAAAAGUGUAUGAGAAUUACCUUUCAGUAUAUGUUGGUCUGGUAUCUGGUGCAUAUGAUGACCAGUUGCAGUGGCCUUGUCUAUGGAGAAAAAUAACCUUCCAAAUACUUGACCAGAAUCCACACAUACAGAAGCGCAUGUCCUCUGAGAAAAGCUUCACGACUGACCCUACUUUGGUUUCUUCCUAUGGCAGAAAUGACUGGGACAAUCCUCGAAAUAAUGGAACUCGAGUUGUCAUUGGCAAUGAGACCGUAUAUGUGGAUAUUUUUUGGGGCUAUCAAUAUGCCAUAAUGAAUGAAGAUCUCACUAAAAGAGAGUUUAUCAAGGGUGAUGACAUCAUAUUUCUCUUCAGCAUGCAAGAUAUCUCAGGGCUAUUUCAAUCUGAGUUUUUACCCUGCCCAAAAGUGACAAUAAUGGAUUUCAGCAUUUCUUCUCAUUCAACUGCCCAGCAGGGAUCAUGUGCUACAAGGUGAAUAUCCAUUUAAGCUCUGUUGUAUGCUUAUUCAAAAUACAGGGAAAAAAGUGUUUUUAAAGGUAAACCUACUGAAAAAUGUAACACUAUUAUUAAGAAAUAAGAGAAUCUGCUAUAUUGGCUAAAUAUAAUCAUGACUAAAGUCCAUUGUAAAGGGGGUCACAUGAUGUUGCUAAAAAGAAAAAUAUUUUGUGUAAUAAAAUGUGUUAAUGUGGUUAAAGGUUAAAAAAA